GAUUGAACGCUGGCGGAAUGCUUUACACAUGCAAGUCGAACGGCAGCACGAGAGCUUGCUCUUGGUGGCGAGUGGCGAACGGGUGAGUAAUAUAUCGGAACGUAUCCAAUAAUGGGGGAUAACUAAUCGAAAGGUUGGCUAAUACCGCAUACGCCCUACGGGGGAAAGCAGGGGAUCUUCGGACCUUGCGUUAAUGGAGCGGCUGAUAUCUGAUUAGCUAGUAGGUGAGGUAAAGGCUCACCUAGGCUUCGAUCAGUAGCUAGUCUGAGAGGACGACCAGCCACACUGGAACUGAGACACGGUCCAGACUCCUACGGGAGGCAGCAGUGGGGAAUUUUGGACAAUGGGGGCAACCCCGAUCCAGCCAUUCCGCGUGAGUGAAGAAGGCCUUCGGGUUGUAAAGCUCUUUCGCAAGGGAAGAAACGUUACGA
rnacentral:rRNA from 1 species